AUAUUAUUAUAUUUAAAUAUGUCGGAUUUUAUAUCCACUCCUGGGCUGACUUUGCCCUUUUUCCUUCUGGAUCUUGAUAAAAUAAGUACCAGUCAAAUACUGGGGUUGAUUUUAAUCGACUAUCCCUAAAUCCUACAAUUUCGGGCUUUGUGGCUAUAUUGGAAAUCAAU